UUUUGGUUGCCUUAUUAAUCCAUAUCAUUUAUGCAGCAACAUGAUUCGUGAAGAGAUGGUUUUUGUUGGGAUUAGCAGCCAUAGUGAACAGAUGGCUUUAAUCCUCGCUGGUUGUACUGCAGUACUAUCGCUCAGGUUCAGCUUCAGUUUCAUGGUUGACCUUAGAUUGGUCACCGAACGUGAAUAUGCUUCACUUGACAAAUCUUGCCACAGCUAGAUCGGAGGCUACAAGUUCUAGGCACAUUAGUUUGAGGAGAUUGGUCCCUAACAGCUGAGGCAGCCAUUCAGUCGGCCUGAAGGACAUCAACAAUAAUGGGAGAAUUUGUGUCGACAUCUUGAAGGACCAAAGGAGCUCUACUAUCAACUAUUUCCAAGCCACUGAAGGUUUUCUCUUUUUUGAGUGGAUAAACUCCCCAAUUUCAUAUGUUAAGACAUAGAAAUUUAAAGAGUACAACGUUUCAUAUGGGAGCUUUUGUGUCGACAUCUUGACGGACGAAAGGAGCUCUACUCUUAACUAUUGACAAGCCAUUCAAGGUUUGUUCUUUUUUGAGUGGAUAAACUCCCAGUUUCAUAUGUCGAGACAUAGAAAUUUAAA